CCUACGGGUGGCAGCAGUGAGGAAUAUUGGUCAAUGGACGCAAGUCUGAACCAGCCAUGCCGCGUGCAGGAAGACGGCUCUAUGAGUUGUAAACUUCUUUUGUACGAGGGUAAACGCAGAUACGUGUAUCUGUCUUAAAGUCUCGUACAAAAAAGGAUCGGCUAACUCCGUGCCAGCAGCCCGCGUAAUACGGAGGAUUCAAUCGUUAUCCGGAUUUAUUUGGGUUAAAGGGUGCGUAGGGGGUCGGAUAAGUUAGAGGUGAAAUCCCGGGGCUCAACUUCGGAAUUGCCUCUGAUACUGUUCGGCUAGAGAGUAGUUGCGGUAGGCGGAAUGUAUGGUGUAGCGGUGAAAUGCUUAGAGAUCAUACAGAACACCGAUUGCGAAGGCAGCUUACCAAGCUACUUCUGACGUUGAGGCACGAAAGCGUGGGGAGCAAACAGGAUUAGAUACCCGGGUAGUC
rnacentral:rRNA from 1 species